GAGUUUGUGGUUGCCCAAAGGUCCAAAUUUUCAUUUGGUAAUUGUUAUUGGAAUAGACUUCCAAUUUCUGAUUGUUUUGCUAGAUUCAAUUACACUUGGAUUGCUCGAUGGGCUGUUUGCCAUCCACACAAUGAUGAAGUCAAAACUUUUUAUUUGGGAACGUUCUUUUACUGUCCACUUUUGGACUAUAGUCCAACAAGAACUUAG
rnacentral:lncRNA from 1 species